rnacentral:lncRNA from 1 species
AAUUUGUUGCAUGCUCUGUUUAGCUCUUAGAAUACAUUAAUAUAUCAUUAAGGAAGACAAUGACAUACUUAUCCAAUAUCUACUUGAAGAUCUUAUUCAUAAGAUCCAUAAGAAUAGCAAGGGCAUAACAAAAAAUUCAUAGUGACCAUACCAGAAACGAAAUGUCAUUUUGGGAAUGUCUUCAGUCUUAAUCCUCAAUUAAU